CGGACGGGUGAGUAACGCGUGGGUAACCUGCCCUGUACAGGGGGAUAACAGUUGGAAACGGCUGCUAAAACUGCAUAACAUGGAGAUACCGCAUGAUAUUUCCAUCAAAUAUUUAUAGGUACAGGAUGGGCCCGCGUCUGAUUAGCCAGUUGGCAGGGUAAUGGCCUACCAAAGCGACGAUCAGUAGCCGGCUUGAGAGAGUGACCGGCCACAUUGGGACUGAGACACGGCCCAAACUCCUACGGGAGGCAGCAG
rnacentral:rRNA from 1 species